AAAAAGUCGCACUCAUAGGAAGUUGUGCUACUACGCAAUGUAAAUUAAAAUAAUGAGUGAUGGCAAUUCCCUAGGAAAUUUCGCAAGUGACUAGCAGAAGAAAGUUAAGAAGCGGAAAAGAUCAUUUGAUUCAAAGUGGAUUACAAUAUAUCCGUGGUUACAAGAAGUUAAUCGCAACAGUGAAUUAAUUUUUUUGUACUCUGUGUUCAAAGACUUUAUCUACUGCAAAUAGUGGCGAUUACAACGUUAGACGGCACGAGAACUCAGAUAAGCACAAAUUGCUUUUGAAGCAGAGUCAAGCACAAAAAAAAAUACCCAAUUUAGCAACAAUUACAAAAU